UCUGGUUGCAUGUGCUUUGGUCUGCUCUCAGCCUCAAGACCACAGUCUGAGGAUGACAGACAGUAACUGAACUCAAGGAAAGCAGUAUCAUGGACCACAGUCUGAGGAUGACGGACAGUAACUGAACUCAAGGAAAGCAGUAUCAUGGCUUGAUGACAUGGAUUUCUACAUGCUGGAAACUAAGCCAGAAUCCACACUACGCAUGGCUUUUCUCUGACCCUGGCAUCUCCAAACAUCUUGUGAAACACAAACUUCAUUUUCUGUGGGACAAGAGAUUUACAGUGGGGAUGCUCUAUCACUUGCUGUGGAUGUCAAUCUUCAGGCAAGAAAGUCUGUCUUAUUUAUGUAGGGAGG
rnacentral:lncRNA from 1 species